UACGGAGGGUCCAAACGUUGUCCGGAAUCACUGGGCGUAAAGAGCAUGUAGGUGGCUUGGUAAGUGGAUGAUUAAAGACCGACGCUUAACGUCGGGACUGUUGUCCAUACUGCCUCGCUUGAGAAUAUCAGGGGCAAGCGGAACUUUGGGUGUAGGGGUGAAAUCCGUAGAUAUCCAAAGGAACACCAAUGGCGAAGGCAGCUUGCUGGGGUAUUUCUGACACUGAGAUGCGAAAGCGUGGGGAGCGAACGGG
rnacentral:rRNA from 1 species